UAGAGUCCAACAGAACAACAUCCACCAGACCAGAGAGGCUCACAUACAUGUUCCAGAUGAUUUCUUCUUGUCCUUGUCCAGUUCUGUUGUUCUUAUCAUCACUGCUUUGGCUGUUAGCUUAGUUGUUAGCAUCAUGGUUAUUUUAGCAUGUGUCUUCUUUGUGUGGAGACAAAAUAGAACCAGUAAGUUACAGAUGAGUCACCACAUUAAUGAUGUAAAACAUCAGCAAACAUCUUUUCUAGUUGAAUUCAGCUGCUUUGAUUUUACACAGAAACCAAAAAAGAUCCAGAGAUGAAGCUGAAAGAGGAGAAAAGCACCUGCCAGAGGAAACAGUGCCGAUGAAGCUUUUAGAAGAAACCAAAGUUCUGACAGAGAAAUAUGAGAAGAUUGAAGAAGAGCUGCAGAAAACCAAAGAAGAACUGAAGAACAAGACUGAAGAGAUGGAGAAACAUGUAGAGACACACACAUAAACACCAUCAUUGUGUUAUUGAGGACUGACCUCUGAUCAACACAACCGUGUCUUUGCUCCAUCUACUGGUAAAAUGAUACAACUGCAUGUUUUCUCCUCCUCAGGUCAAUGAACUAAAGGAGGAGAAGAAGAAGCUGCAGGUGGAGACCAGAAACAAAG